CCUACGGGGUGCUGCAGUGAGGAAUAUUGGUCAAUGGACGAGAGUCUGAACCAGCCAAGUAGCGUGAAGGAUGACUGCCCUAUGGGUUGUAAACUUCUUUUAUAUGGGAAUAAAAUGUUCCACGUGUGGGAUUUUGUAUGUACCAUAUAAAUAAGGAUCGGCUAACUCCGUGCCAGCAGCCGCGGUAAUACGGAGGAUCCGAGCGUUAUCCGGAUUUAUUGGGUUUAAAGGGAGCGUAGGUGGAUUGUUAAGUCAGUUGUGAAAGUUUGCGGCUCAACCGUAAAAUUGCAGUUGAAACUGGCAGUCUUGAGUACAGUAGAGGUGGGCGGAAUUCGUGGUGUAGCGGUGAAAUGCUUAGAUAUCACGAAGAACUCCGAUUGCGAAGGCAGUUCACUGGACUGCAACUGACACUGAGGCUCGAAAGUGUGGGUAUCAAACAGGAUUAGAUACCCUUGUAGUC
rnacentral:rRNA from 1 species